UUAGGUGGUUAUAGUAGCGGGGUUCCACCUCUUCCCAUUCCGAACAGAGAAGUUAAUACCGCCCGCGCCGAUGGUACUGCAUACCCGUGGGAGAGUAGGUAGCCGCCGUUU
rnacentral:rRNA from 1 species